UGGGGUGUCGCCAAGCGGUAAGGCACGGGGUUUUGAUCCCCGCAUUCGCAGGUUCGAAUCCUGCCACCCCAGCCA
rnacentral:tRNA from 1 species